CCCCUAGAUGUUCUGGGCCGCACGCGCGCUACACUGAACAGUUCAACAAGUCUUAACCUUGGCCGAUAGGUCUGGGUAAUCUUUGAACGCUGUUCGUGAUUGGGAUAGACCUUUGCAAUUAUGGGUCUUCAACGAGGAAUUCCUAGUAAACGCAAGUCAUCAGCUUGUAUUGAUUACGUCCCUGCCCUUUGUACACACCGCCCGUCGCACCUACCGAUUGAAUGGUCCGGUGAAAUCUCGGGACGGCGGCUUGGUCGCUUGCGUCCGACUGCUGAAACUUGAUUAAACCAUAUCAUUUAGAGGAAGGUGAAGUCGUAACA
rnacentral:rRNA from 1 species